GAUAAAAAAAAGGCUAGGGUUUCGAAAGGUCCCAUCCACCGCUGCCGCCGGGAAAUCCGAGCUCCGCCGCUCUGCUCCACCGUCGCAGCCGCACCCUCGGACUCCCCACGGUUUGGCAAAUAAUCCUCCCCUCGCCUUUUCAAUUACUUAGAAAACUCCUGUUCUUUUUCUGCUGAAAUUUUCCAAACACGGAAUCUUCACAUAUAUCUAUCCAAUCAAACAAUGUCUUUGCUAGAAGUCAUAAUGAACGCUUCGGCCGACUCCGAAGCACUCACUUACGAGUCAGACUACCCCAUCGUUCUCAACCCAGACCCCGUGUUCCUGACCUUAAACCCUAAAUGCGAUGCCCCGAACGAUGUCGUACGCGUCGAGGGUUGGCAGAUUUCGCAAACCGAUUCCCUCCUUAUCGAUUCAAGUCGCAAGUUUUUCAAAAAACUGAAACGGAAGCUCAAAAACCCUAGUUUGUUAACCAAGGAUGAGUUUCAUGAGAUGUUGAAUUCUUAUCUGGAAAAGAGCAGCGAGAGGGCCGGGGUUUCGACUGGGGUUGAUCUGUUGGAUGAGGGGUAUAAUUGUAAGUUGGUUGAAAAGGUUGGGUUUUUGAUGGGUAGUGAAGUUAAUGGUUUGGUUUUGGAGGGGUGCGUUGUUUUGGAGAUUUGGGAGUUGUUGGAAACUCUGAUAGUUUGUGGGCUUGUCAAGCAUUCAAGUAGUUCUAGUUUGGUUCACAAUUUGAUUGAGAAGAGGAGGUCCGAUUUGGUUUGUUUGUGUGUGAAGCAUGUUUCAGAUCUCCGAACGGCUGAUCUUCUGUCAGUUUUGAGGUACUUCCUUUCGCCGCCAAAGGGUGGUUAUGAGAGUAUGGUAAGAGUGAGGGAGGAAUGGGAGAGCCAAGCAUUGUCAGCAGUAGAGAAGGCAACGGGCAGUAAACUCAGUGGGAAGAAAUUGAAGUUGGCUAAAGAGGCCUCUGUCUUGCUCAUGAUCGCACACGACGGGUUUUCUGCUUCUGAAUUGUGUUUGCAUUAUUUGCUUGCGUCUUCAAACCUUGAUGAGGUGGUUUUGUCGUCCUGUAUUAGUAAGUUGAUUGGUUCAGAGAUAAUGAGCUUGAUUCAGUACUUGGGAAAGUGGGUGAAAAAGUACGAGAGGUUCCCUCAAGCGGGUCCUUGUCCUAAAGCUUCAUCUUCAUUGGGGUUGAAAUCUUGUGAAUGGGUUCCUAGGCUUGAAGAUAUUGUGAAAUGUCUUAGCCUGGUGUUGGAUGAGCAUUUCUUGUCAUUUGUGUUACAUUCUGAGUUUCAUGAGGAGCUGAGGUCUAUAGAGGGGCUUGUCAAUGCUUUAUCCCUGGAAUCGAAAGUUUGUUGUUCCAUGGCAAAUGUGAUUGAAAGUCUGAGAACUGAAGUUAAAGGUCCUAAAUAUCGUUUAAUCCACUUCAUUUGAGGGCAAGUAUUGACAGUUCAUGAAAGAAAGGACAAGAGUAUUACCGACAAGACUAACCACCGCUCAGCUGCAGAGGUGCACAACUUCAGAAAAAGAUGAAUGGUUUCCCUACAGAGGUUUCCAACUGAAUUUUCGGUGCUAAGAUUAUUUGCUAGUUGGGAACAUUAGCACACAGUUGGUGCGAGGUGCUCACCUGAAGGUUGGUUAUGCCUUGGUGGCCCUUCAGGAAGCUUUGCCAGAAUACUGUAUGAUCAACUUAAUUUUGAACGAUUUAUAAUUUUUCAUCUUCCUAGGCGUGUGGUGAAGAAGGUAAUGUAUAACGUUUGUUAUGAGAGAGUGUUUUGUUCUUUUUUCGGAACACCGU